rnacentral:rRNA from 1 species
AGUCCUACGGGGGGCAGCAGUAGGGAAUUUUCGUCAAUGGGCGCAAGCCUGAACGAGCAAUGCCGCGUGAACGAGGAAGGUCUUCGGAUCGUAAAGUUCUGUUGAAGGGGAAAAAGAGCGGAGAGAGGAAAUGGUCUCCGAUUGAUAUUACCCUUCGAGGAAGUCACGGCUAACUACGUGCCAGCAGCCGCGGUAAUACGUAGGUGGCGAGCAUUAUCCGGAAUGAUUGGGCGUAAAGGGUGCGUAGGCGGCCUGCUAAGUCUGGAGUGAAAGCCCAGGGCUCAACCCUGGGACUGCUUUGGAAA